CCACCCUUGAAAGAGUGCGUAACAGCUCACUGGUCUAGUGGUUCCGCGCCGACAAUGUAGCGGGGCUCAAGCACACCACCGAAGACGCGGCAGUAGCUUUGCUACUGGGUAGGAGAGCGUCCCAUGCGGGGCGAAGCGGCGGCGCAAGCCCGCCGUGGACUGCAUGGGAGUGAGAAUGCAGACAUGAGUAGCGAAAGACGGGUGAAGAUCCCGUCCGCUGGACGACCAAGGGUUCCAGGGCCACGUUCAUCGUCCCUGGGUGAGUCGGGUCCUAAGGCGAGGCCGACAGGCGUAGUCGAAUGGAUGAACGGGUCGAUAUUCCCGUACCGGCAUGCAACCGACAAAACCGAAUCCGCGAGUACUAACCUCCGGGUCCGGGCUUACGUCUCCUUCGGGAGCCGGAUGCCCUGGCCUGUUGGGACCGUAACGGUAGUAGGUCAGCGCGGGAGUGACGCAGAAGGGUAGCCGGCCGCGGAGGUGGUCUUCCGUGGUCAAGCACGCAGCCCGUCCCACAGGCAAAUCCGUGGGGCGCGUGGGCGAGGUGCGAUGAUGGGCGCCGCAGGGCGCGAUAUCCGGUGAUCCCGGCUGCCGAGAAAAGCUUCGGCGUGAGGCGGCGUGCCGCCCGUACCCCAAACCGACACUGGUGGUCAGGUAGAGAAUACCAAAGCGAUCGAGCGAAUCCUGGUCAAGGAACUCGGCAAAUCACUCCCGUUCCUUCGGUUUAAGGGAGACCCCCGAUGGUGAAGCGGCUUGCCCGUGGAGCUUUUGGGGGUGGCACAGACCAGGGGGUAGCGACUGUUUACCAAAAACACAGGAGCGUGCGAAGGCGCAAGCCGCUGUAUACGCUCUGACGCCUGCCCGGUGCCGGAAGGUUAAGAGGAUCCGUCAGGCUUCGGCCGAAGCGGUGAAUUCAAGCCCCGGUAAACGGCGGUGGUAACUAUAACCAUCCUAAGGUAGCGAAAUUCCUUGUCGGGUAAGUUCCGACCUGCACGAAUGGCGUAACGACUUCCCCACUGUCUCGACCAGGAGCUCGGCGAAAUUGCAGUACGAGUAAAGAUGCUCGUUAAGCGCAGAAGGACGAAAAGACCCCGGGACCUUUACUAUACCUUGGUAUUGGCAUUCGGUGUGGAUUGUGUAGCAUAGGCGGAAGGCUUCGAAGCCACGGCGCCAGCCGCGGUGGAGCCGCAAGGUGAAAUACCGCUCUGUUCGCAUUGGAUGUCUAACCUCGACCAGUCAUCCUGGUCAGGGACAGUGCCUGGCGGGUAGUUUAACUGGGGCGGUUGCCUCCCAAAGAGUAACGGAGGCGCUCAAAGGUUCCCUCAGCCCGGUUGGCAAUCGGGUGGCGAGUGUAAGUGCACAAGGGAGCUUGACUGCGAGACUGACGGGUCGAGCAGGGACGAAAGUCGGAACUAGUGAUCCGGUGCCGGUGUACGGACGCGGCAUCGCUCAACGGAUAAAAGGUACCCCGGGGAUAACAGGCUGAUCAUUCCCAAGAGUCCAUAUCGACGGGAUGGUUUGGCACCUCGAUGUCGGCUCGUCGCAUCCUGGGGCUGGAGCAGGUCCCAAGGGUUCGGCUGUUCGCCGAUUAAAGCGGCACGCGAGCUGGGUUCAGAACGUCGUGAGACAGUUUGGUCUCUAUCCUCUGCGCUCGUCGGAAU
rnacentral:rRNA from 1 species